rnacentral:lncRNA from 1 species
CAUGAGAAAUAAUUUUCUCUACAUCCUCUGUUAAGCAUACCCAAGUAUCUUUCGAGAGGAUUGGAGAUCCUGCUAUGUGUAUGAGGUAGAGGAGGAAUAUAUGUCUACUGGCUCAUGAUGAAUAGGUUCUUAAGGUCCCAAGGCUCGCUGCUCUUCAAAGAUACUCUCUUAGAGCUUAACUUUCCUCCCAUUGCUUCAUCCUAGUUAAACAAUUUUUCAAGAUAGAAUGUCAGAUCACA